rnacentral:rRNA from 1 species
UACGGGGGGGGCAAGCGUUGUUCGGAAUUACUGGGCGUAAAGGGCUCGUAGGUGGCCAAUUAAGUCAGACGUGAAAUCCCCAGGCUCAACCUGGGAACUGCGUCUGAUACUGGUUGGCUUGAAUUCGGGAGAGGGAUGCAGAAUUCCAGGUGUAGCGGUGAAAUGCGUAGAUAUCUGGAGGAAUACCGGUGGCGAAGGCGGCAUCCUGGACCGACAUUGACGCUGAUGAGCGAAAGCUAGGGGAGCAAACGGG